rnacentral:rRNA from 1 species
ACGAACGCUGGGCGGCGUGCCUAACGCAUGCAAGUCGAGCGGGGAUGGUAGCUGAAGGUGAUGAGCUGGAAGCUGCCAUCUUAGCGGCGGACGGGUGAGUAACACGUGAGCAACCUACCCCUCAGCACGGGGAUAACAGCUCGAAAGGGCUGCUAAUACCCGAUGGGACCACGUCAUUGCAUGGUGAUGUGGUGAAAGGGUGGACGUAAGGUCCAUGCCGGCUGGGGAUGGGCUCGCGGCCCAUCAGCUAGUUGGUGGGGUAACGGCCUACCAAGGCGACGACGGGUAGCCGGCCUGAGAGGGUGACCGGCCACAGUGGGACUGAGACACGGCCCACACUCCUACGGGAGGCAGCAGCGGGGAAACUUGCGCAAUGGGGCGAAAGCCUGACGCAGCGACGCCGCGUGAGGGGAAGGAGCCCUUCGGGGGUGUAAACCUCUUUGGACGGGGAGAAGUAGGAGAUAGUACCCGUUUAAAAAGCCACGGCUAACUACGUGCCAGCAGCCGCGGUAAUACGUAGGUGGCGAGCGUUGUCCGGAAUUACUGGGCGUAAAGGGUGCGUAGGCGGCCUGGUAAGUUGAGCGUGAAAAUUUUUGGGCUCAACCCAAAAGGAGCGUUCAAGACUGCCAGGCUUGAGUGCGGGAGA